GCGUAGGGUAUGUAGGCUGUGAAAAACGGGUGAAAUAAAAAACUGGAUGCUAAUCUUUUAUGUUUCUUCUUGAUUUCACUUGAAUCUUAGAAAGAUGAUGGUAUUUAUUAGGAAUGGUUAAAUAUGAGAUAAAUAAAGGACCGACAGGUGCGAAAGCAAUCAUCUUCUCAAGUAUUGAGCUAAGGUACGAAGGCAGGGGAGCAAAGCGGAUUAGACACCCGCGUAGUCCGUGCUGUAACGCUGAGUUUUCAAUGUAGGAAGAUCUUUUCUUGAAAUAUUAGCUAUAAUAAGGAAAGAAAAGAAAGAAAUUCUUGGUGUUUGAGUAACGCAUUAAAUUCUCCGCUGGGAAGUAC
rnacentral:rRNA from 1 species